rnacentral:rRNA from 1 species
GAUGAACGCUGGCGGCGUGCCUAAUACAUGCAAGUCGAGCGAACGGACGAGAAGCUUGCUUCUCUGAUGUUAGCGGCGGACGGGUGAGUAACACGUGGAUAACCUACCUAUAAGACUGGGAUAACUUCGGGAAACCGGAGCUAAUACCGGAUAAUAUUUUGAACCGCAUGGUUCAAAAGUGAAAGACGGUUUUGCUGUCACUUAUAGAUGGAUCCGCGCUGCAUUAGCUAGUUGGUAAGGUAACGGCUUACCAAGGCAACGAUGCAUAGCCGACCUGAGAGGGUGAUCGGCCACACUGGAACUGAGACACGGUCCAGACUCCUACGGGAGGCAGCAGUAGGGAAUCUUCUGCAAUGGGCGAAAGCCUGACGGAGCAACGCCGCGUGAGUGAUGAAGGUCUUCGGAUCGUAAAACUCUGUUAUUAGGGAAGAACAUAUGUGUAAGUAACUGUGCACAUCUUGACGGUACCUAAUCAGAAAGCCACGGCUAACUACGUG